AGUGAACGCUGGCGGUAGGCCUAACACAUGCAAGUCGAACGGCAGCACAGUAAGAGCUUGCUCUUACGGGUGGCGAGUGGCGGACGGGUGAGGAAUACAUCGGAAUCUACUUUUUCUGGGGGGAUAACGUAGGGAAACUUACGCUAAUACCGCAUACGUCCUACGGGUGAAAGCAGGGGAUCUUCGGACCUUGCGCGAUUGAAUGAGCCGAUGUCGGAUUAGCUAGUUGGCGGGGUAAAGGCCCACCAAGGCGACGAUCCGUAGCUGGUCUGAGAGGAUGAUCAGCCACACUGGAACUGAGACACGGUCCAGACUCCUACGGGAGGCAGCAGUGGGGAAUAUUGGGCAAUGGGCGCAAGCCUGAUCCAGCCAUACCGCGUGGGUGAAGAAGGCCUUCGGGUUGUAAAGCCCUUUUGUUGGGAAAGAAAAGCAGCAGGUUAAUACCCCGCUGUUCUGACGGUACCCAAAGAAUAAGCACCGGCUAACUUCGUG
rnacentral:rRNA from 1 species